ACUACAGAGAAAACAAUGAGCUCAACACAGAAGGACCAACAUGGAGCGAGAAGUCAGCGCUCUCAGGAGGCCGACAAACCUCACAGAAGAAAGAGAGAGAAAAAAUACACCUGUGACGAGUGUGGGAUGGAUUUUAUUGGGAAGCCUUCACUAAAACAGCAUCAGGUCAUCCACACUGGAGAGAGACCGUUCAGCUGUGACUUGUGUGAAAAGUCGUUUUCCUGGAAGAAUGCUUUAAGAAGACACCAACUCAUCCACAGUGGAGUUAAAGUGUACAGCUGUGAUCAGUGUGGCAGAGUUUUUACUCACAGUAGCAGCUUACAGAAUCAUCUAGUUACCCACUCUGGAAUUAAGGCAUACAGCUGUGACAUUUGUGGAAAAACCUUCAGUCGGAUAGGGUACCGAAAUAUACACCUACGCAUUCACACCAGACAUGAUGUGUACUGCUGUGAACAGUGUGGCAAACAUUUUACAACAGACGCACAGUUACAACAACACAUGUUUACCCACACUGAGGAGAGACCUUAUAAAUGUGACCUGUGUGAGAAGACUUUUAAAGCUCCACGUCACCUGAGACGACACCAACAGAUCCACACCAGAAAGAGACUCUACAAGUGCAGUUACUGUGAGAAGCAGAGUGACACAGCUGGAUCCAGUUCUCAACCCUGUCAUCACUGUGGUGGUGGGAAAGUGACCUUUGUGGAAAAACUUUCAGUUGGCACGAAACCCUGAAAAUACAUCAACAUAAACACACUGGAGACAAACUGAAAUACUGCAAAGAAUGUGGGAGAAGCUUCACCACAUCAAGUGGAUUAAAACCACAUGAACUCAUUCACAGUGGGGUUAAAAACCACACAGGUACACAUCCUGGGCAGGGAGGAACGCUGGUUUGAGCGCGGAUCAAGGAAGCCAUUUAUGUGAAAAGGGAAAGCCUCUGAAUCAAGGAGGGGGCCUAAAGGUACAUUUAUUUCCUUUGCGACUCCAUUUAAACACAGACAACAAGUAACUACACUAAGCAAAGUAGAAAAUGGUUUGCCCCUUCUCAUCAGCAACACCUGGACAGAAUUACCCUUGACCUUAAAUAACCCCGUACCUACCUCUGCCAUAACCAGUACAUAAAAUGAAAUACAACCCUCUAGUGGUGAUAAAGACAGGGAAAUAAGAAAAAUGUCUCUUACACACCAGCUCCUGAUUACAUGAGGCAGAGGACAUGGCAAUUAUUGAACUUAAAGGAGCCAUGAUGAAUUCGGCUUUAUUAUGUGGUAAGAACAAGUAGUCUGAUGUCCUGUAAUCAUGAUGAUGAUAAAAUUA